UAGACGCCGGCGGCAGGCUUAACACAUGCAAGUCGAGCGGUAGCACAGGGGAGCUUGCUCCCUGGGUGACGAGCGGCGGACGGGUGAGUAAUGUCUGGGAAACUGCCUGAUGGAGGGGGAUAACUACUGGAAACGGUAGCUAAUACCGCAUAACGUCGCAAGACCAAAGAGGGGGACCUUCGGGCCUCUUGCCAUCAGAUGUGCCCAGAUGGGAUUAGCUAGUAGGUGGGGUAAUGGCUCACCUAGGCGACGAUCCCUAGCUGGUCUGAGAGGAUGACCAGCCACACUGGAACUGAGACACGGUCCAGACUCCUACGGGAGGCAGCAGUGGGGAAUAUUGCACAAUGGGCGCAAGCCUGAUGCAGCCAUGCCGCGUGUGUGAAGAAGGCCUUCGGGUUGUAAAGCACUUUCAGCGAUGGAGGAAGGAGGUGAGCUUAAUACGCUCAUCAAUUGACGUUACUCGCAGAAGAAGCACCGGCUAACUCCGUGCCAGCAGCCGCGGUAAUACGGAGGGUGCAAGCGUUAAUCGGAAUUACUGGGCGUAAAGCGCACGCAGGCGGUUUGUUAAGUCAGAUGUGAAAUCCCCGGGCUCAACCUGGGAACUGCAUUUGAAACUGGCAAGCUAGAGUCUCGUAGAGGGGGGUAGAAUUCCAGGUGUAGCGGUGAAAUGCGUAGAGUAUCUGGAGGAACACCGGUGGCGAAGGCGGCCCCCUGGACGUAAGACUGACGCUUCAGGUGCGUAAAGCGUGGGGAGCAAAC
rnacentral:rRNA from 1 species